AGGACGAACGCUGGCGGCGUGCUUAACACAUGCAAGUCGAACGGUAAGGCCCCUUCGGGGGUACACGAGUGGCGAACGGGUGAGUAACACGUGGGUAAUCUGCCCUGCACUUCGGGAUAAGCCUGGGAGACCGGGGUCUAAUACCGGAUAUGAGCUCUCACCGCAUGGUGGGGGUUGGAAAGUUUUUCGGUGCAGGAUGAGUCCGCGGCCUAUCAGCUUGUUGGUGGGGUAAUGGCCUACCAAGGCGACGACGGGUAGCCGGCCUGAGAGGGUGAUCGGCCACACUGGGACUGAGACACGGCCCAGACUCCUACGGGAGGCAGCAGUGGGGAAUAUUGCACAAGUGGGCGGAAGCCUGAUGCAGCGACGCCGCGGUGGGGGAUGACGGUCUUCGGAUUGUAAACUCCUUUCGAGGUAGGACGAAGCGAGAGUGACGGUACUGCGAAGAAGAACGCACCGGCCCAACGUACGUCGACCGAGACGACGCCGGUCGGUAACU
rnacentral:rRNA from 1 species